GUUUGAACCCCUACCAGCUCUUGAUGAUGAAGAAGUGGAUAUGGAAACAUUGAUCAGAGCCAUGAUGAUGUUCAAAGAAAAAAAUGACAUUGCUAAUCUGUCCGACUUCCUGCACAAUCUGGGCGUUCAGCUUCCAGAUGAUGAACAUGAU